AGGACAAACGCUGGCGGCGUACCUAAGACAUGCAAGUCGAACGGGGGAUGGACCCUUCGGGGACCAUUUCGAGUGGCGAACGGGUGAGUAACACGUAGGAACCUGACGUUUGGUGGGGGAUAACGCUGGGAAACCGGCGCUAAUACCGCAUAAAGUCCCUCGAAAGAGGGAGCAAAGCAGCAAUGCGCCAGAUGAGGGGCCUGUGGCCGAUUAGCUAGUUGGUGAGGUAAAGGCCCACCAAGGCGACGAUCGGUAGCUGGUCUGAGAGGAUGGUCAGCCACACUGGGACUGAGACACGGCCCAGACUCCUACGGGAGGCAGCAGUUAGGAAAUUUUCGCAAUGGGGGAAACCCUGACGGAGUAACGCCGCGUGGAGGAUGACGGCGUUUCGGGUUGUAAACUCCUUUUUCUGUGGGAAGAGUAGAAGACGGUACGCAGGAAGAGCCUCGGCUAACUACGUGCCAGCAGCCGC
rnacentral:rRNA from 1 species